UCUGACUNGAGUGCAGAAGGGGAGAGUGGAAUNCCAUGUGUAGCGGUGAAAUGCGUAGAUAUAUGGAGGAACACCAGUGGCGAAAGCGGCUCUCUGGUCUGUCACUGACGCUGAGGCUCGAAAGCGUGGGUAGCGAACAGGAUUAGAUACCCUGGUAGUNCACGCCGUAAACGAUGAGUGCUAGGUGUUAGGCCCUUUCCGGGGCUUAGUGCCGGAGCUAACGCAAUAAGCACUCCGCCUGGGGAGUACGACCGCAAGGUUGAAACUCAAAGGAAUUGACGGGGGCCCGCACAAGCGGUGGAGCAUGUGGUUUAAUUCGAAGCAACGCGAAGAACCUUACCAGGUCUUGACAUCCCGAUGCUAUUCUUAGAGAUAGGAAGUUACUUCGGUACAUCGGAGACAGGUGGUGCAUGGUUGUCGUCAGCUCGUGUCGUGAGAUGUUGGGUUAAGUCCCGCAACGAGCGCAACCCUUAUUGUUAGUUGCCAUCAUUAAGUUGGGCACUCUAGCGAGACUGCCGGUAAUAAACCGGAGGAAGGUGGGGAUGACGUCAAAUCAUCAUGCCCCUUAUGACCUGGGCUACACACGUGCUACAAUGGUCGGUACAACGAGUUGCGAGCCGGUGACGGCAAGCUAAUCUCUGAAAGCCGAUCUCAGUUCGGAUUGGAGGCUGCAACUCGCCUCCAUGAAGUCGGAAUCGCUAGUAAUCGCGGAUCAGCACGCCGCGGUGAAUACGUUCCCGGGCCUUGUACACACCGCCCGUCACACCACGAGAGUUUGUAACACCCGAAGUCGGUGAGGUANCCUUUUAGGG
rnacentral:rRNA from 1 species